UUUCUCGCUGUGAGGACAUCUCAACAGCACUGCGGGGAAUAAAAGAAUCUAAACGAAUGCCCUACUAAAUUCUUUUUUUUUACUUUUAAAUUAAUUAUUACUCAUUCACUAUGACCGUCCUGAUUUUAUUUUAACUGGUAAUUCUGCGCUAUUCAAUGCUAUUUCAAUAAAUAUUAGGAAAUUUAUACUCCAUAUUAAUUUGGAGAGAGAGCGUAAACUUUAAUUUCAAAAUCAGCAAGAUUUGAGUCCGGCGUCUUUUAGUGGGUCUGGACACCCGCCGCGGACGCGGUUCCGAGACCUUGUCUCGAAGCGGCUUCCUCGGCUCAUAUUAAUUUGGAAUAAUCCACCCAUUUCUAGGCCAAUCUCCCACCUUGGGUAGGAGCCCACGCGUCACAGGCUACAACAGCAACAACAACAACGACCACCCGAAGAAGCCGCCCGCAACACCAUGACCACAACGCCACCACGACGGGUAUCAGGUACUUGGGCGACAACGCCACCUUCGGCUUGGGCGACGCUGCAUACAGCUAGAGUUGCAGACGAGAAACGCGGUCGGCGUCCGAGCGCGUGCCACUCAUCCACGCGAAAGGAAAAGGAACAGCAUCCAAUCCAAAGCCUAUCCGUAGCAGAAAGCCUGAGCAGCCCCCUGAGCGACAAAGCGACGUCAUCAUUCGAAGCUAACGAAGAGCUCAAGCAUGUCCCGCAUUGUCCGAAUGGCUCUCUUCUCGCGGAAAUUCACCACCUCGGUCAUCCGCAGGAGCGCCCACGAUGAUCACGACACGUCCGGCAUCGUUGGCUCGAAUCUGCCGUUUAAGACUGACAACCGCUUCGGGCUAACCAUUAAGUUCGCCCUGUUCUUCGGCAUUCCUUUCGCGAUACCUUACUACGCUGUUAGGUUCCAUUUGACAAAGAAGACCGCUUGAAGAUUAUGUUACGCAAGAGCAAGCCCUUGUCUCUGUACCGGACUCUGUUCAAGAGCGCAAGCUAAGCUGUAAGCGUUCAUGUAAAAAAAAUGAACACAAUUUUGUUCUGUGCUA